CGUCACAAGAAAGGAAAAGAUGGCAGCCUCGGCGGCGACGCUGCAUAGAUCUGCAGGCAUGAGGCUGACGGAAGGAUUGUUAUCAGUUUUACGGACGGAUACAAUUGGAAGAAUAUGUUCCCGUUCUUUUGUCCAGCUACCGAGAGCAUGGGGAUAUAGCUACACAGAGUGCAGCAGUGAUGGCAGGGCUUGUCUCUCUGAGCAACAUACGGCUUGGCUCAGUCAAGACCCGAUUUGAAGGCUUGUGUAUCAUGGCAGUGAUGGUCAAAGAUAGCUCAACUGAGCUCUUCCAACAACACUGCUUAACCUGGCUUCGAUCCAUCCAGCAGAUAAUUCAGUCCCAGGACCCUUUGCAGACAAUGGAGCUGGCUGUGCAUGUGCUUCAUGACCUACUCCAGUAUUCAUCUCAGUUGCCAGAGCUGGCUAGAAACAUAGGCCUUAACUCAAUUCCAGGAAUUCUGACAUCACUGCUUUCUGUAAAACCAGAGUGCCAUAUUGCUGCUAUGGAAGGAAUGCAUGCUUGUAUGACCUUCUACCCAAGAGCCUGUGGAUCUUUGCGGGGAAAGCUGGGAGCCUAUUUCUUGUCAAAGAUGGAUUCAGAGAACACUCGGAUGCAGGAGUUGGCAUGUUCCUGCUAUUCCAUUCUACCGACACUAGGUUCUGGGUUCUCGCAAGGAAUCAAGACUUCAGAGGCUUGGGCUCAGCAACUACAGUGUAUUCUGGCCACUGCACAUAGCCUUUUAGGACAACUUUAUGAAGGCGCAGAAACAGAUCCAGUAAUAUACAUGGGUCCUGGUGUGGAGCUAAACUUCAGUCCUUUGGAUGAGAGAGAUCCACUUUUUAUUCUGAGGCUAAGUCAGAGAUAUGCUGGACUUUGCCAAAGCCUUUCUAAAUUGCUCAGCAUUGAUGUCACAGUUCCUGUCAAACUUCCUGUGCAGGACAUCAUUAACCUGGUUUGCAGAGCAUUGGCUGUGACUCGUAAGAAAUUGAAUUGGCUGGGAGAUGGACCUCUGAAAAUGCUAGUGUUACCAACAAUCCACUUUCGCACACUAGAUGUCCUUAUAGCACUCAUUGAAACUGGAGGAUCUCGACUAAUCCGGUAUUCUACGGUGCUCUGUCAUCUUUUUGCUCAAACUCUGAAUGCAUGGAGUUUUACCAAUGAUACCAUCCUUCCUGGACAGCAAAGAGCAUACAGUACUGUGAGAGUGCAGGUUUAUAAGACUGUGCAAAUAUGGGUCAGUGUGGCAGGGUCAUCUUCUGGAGUACUGCAAGGCUCUGCUAAUUCUUCUGAGGUACUUUUGGGACACAUACUGAGUGACAUUACCCCAGGGACGGACACAAUCAAGCUGAGGACCGAAAAGGCUAUGCCAGAGCUCAGUAACAAUAUUGGGAAAGUUGGAGGAAAAAGAACCAAAGGAUUGGAUGUCCAUGAAGCAACCUCCCAUAUGCAGGGAUACAGGAAGCAAGAGAGCAAUGCUAAUUCCGACUGCUGCAAGGCAGCACUAAAGUCCCUCAACCUCAUCAUUAUUAACAGUGGUACUCUGCUAAAAGAGGAGACUCAUAAGAAGCUGCAAGAGCUUGUGGUACCACUAUUAGUUGGUUUUCAGCAGCAUGGUAGUUUGGCAGCCAAUGGUACUCAAACAAGUCCAUACUUCAGUCCUGAGAACCGCAAGGAGCUUUACCAUGUCCUACUUGCACUACUUUUGGUUCCCAGUCCGAGGUGGCCUCCACCACUUCAGUGUGCAGUGAGAGCUUUCAGCCUAGGUCUGGGUGACAUCAACAUUAUGGUUGCAUCUUUCUGCCGUGAAGCACUGGCCAUUUGCAAUGUUCUCAUUCACCCGCGCACCCCAUCAAUUGCCCAUUCUUUCUCUUUAACUGCUGCAGCUAGUACACAGCAGACAAUGGGAAAACCUGGCAUGGCAGAACUACUGCCUCAUCCACAAGGGCCAACUGCUUUUCGAGCUGGAGUGACUCCUCCCUUCAUCCCUCCAAAUCCUUCCAGUUGUCCUCAACCAUCUGGACCUCUUAGCUUGCCUUCUUUGCUUUCCAGUAGCAACUCCUUUCAAGCCAGACAUCCUAUGAACUUGCCAAACUCUGCAACAGCUACUCUCCCCUGUUCUUCUUUACUUGGGUCCUUGGAGAAUCACUUGGCCACAGAUUCUGCAGCACAACUGAGCACUACUAGUGACAAUCUGGUAGGUACAGGGCUAAUGGAUGUGCUCUCCCCACAUCAUGCAGGCUUAGAAGAGAGCUUUUCAGGUGCUGCAGAUGGGCAUAAACCUGUUUUUGUACGUUAUGAUAAGGAAGAGGCAGAAGAUGUGGAGAUUUCCUUGGAAAGUGACUCUGAUGACAGUGUAGUAAUUGUUCCCGAAGGGCUAUUAAUCAAACAGCCAGCACCACAAAGCAUAGCUGCUCAAAAUCAAGAAGGCAGGUUGCUAGAACAAGACAAUGUUGAAGGCGUGGGAUCUGCUGGAGGCACAAGCCCUAAGGGUCAAGCCAACAACAUCACAGGGGCUGUUCCUGGGAUUGGGAUGCCUUCAGCAACAGAUACAGUCUUAUCAACCACAUCAGCCUCAAGUUCUGUUGUGGCAAGUGCCCUUGCCAAUAGUUUUACUUCAAGCAUUACUCCUCUGCAAACUGUGCCUCCCACUGCAGUGGUAGAACCUCAGCAGGCACAGUACAGCUCCCAACAGAUGCUGCAGCAGCAGUCUGAGGAAGAUUCUGCGGUAAUUAACAUUAAUAGCUCAGAUGAUGAUGAGGAAGAGGAAGAAGAGGAAGAAGAAGAAGAUGAUGAAGAAUAUCCAGAAGAAGAGGGAUUCUAUGAAGACGAUGAGGAGGAGGAAGACUAUGAAGAGUAUGAAGAUGAAGAAUGUCUAGAAGAUCUGGAGGAGGAGUCAGAGGAGGAAGAAGAGGAUGGAGAGAUGAUAGAUGAUGAUGAGGAAGAUUUGGAGGAUGAAGAAGAUCUUGAUCAUUCUGAAGUUAUGAGGACUGGACAUGGCACAUCUUUUAAACUGGAACACGUAGAGGAAGAAAUGACGGGACUGAAAGCAAGACCAUGUGGACGCCAGGAAAUGCAGGAAGACUUGUAUAGUGACCCAGUUGAUUUAGAAGAAGAGGGACCAGUGGAAAUAGAUGAAGGGGACCACAGCCUAGUAGAGAUUCGGGAUGGGGAGCAAGAAGAAGUCAUGUCCAGUGAGCCUGCAAUACACACUGUGCAAAGUGAUGAGCAAGAGCCAAUGAAAUCUAGUGUAGAUGAUCUGGUAGAAAAGCCACUAAUCACUCUUCCAGUAGUAAGCCAGGAAGAAGAAAGUGUUCUGUCUCAGGAGGACACCUCAGAACAAGAGAAGGAAGAAGGAAAGUCUGAGAUUAUGCAAGAAGUGACAUUUAUAAAGAAUGUGCCUGACAAAUCAGCAUCACCUGUGAGGGAGAGUCAGGUACAAAUAGUUCUUGAAACCGAGGUCCAGGAGAAAGUAAGCAGCACUUCCACAGCAAACAGUGAACCUGAACAUGAGCAAGACCAAUCUGUCAUUAAAGAUCAGCCAGAACAAGACUUUGCUGAUAGCAGUUUGUCUGAGAAGCAUAUAAAGGAAGAUGUUGAAUCUAAAACUGAUGCAGAGGAAAAUGUCCUCAUCCAAGAUGAGACAGGAAAAGGAAGCAAAAAGGAUACAGAAACUAAGCAAGAAGAGGUAUCAAUCAAACAAGCUGAAGUGGACAUAGAACUGAGGGAACUGGAGGCAAAAGACCCCGAAGAGGAGGAACAGCCUGUAGAUGAGAGGGGGCUAAAGAGAAAACGUGAGGAGGAGCCAACAGCUGAUGAGAACCCAGACAAAAAGAAGCUUACUGAAGAAGACAGCACUGCUGCAAUGCUGGCUGAUUUUGUAGACUGCCCACCAGAUGAAGAAGAAGCAACACCGUCAUUUUCAAAAGAUGACUCCUAGACUCGAGUUUAUGAGAUAGGAGGCCUGUAUUUGGAUGUUCCCUUGCUGUGCCAAUAUUUUCUGACUCCUGCCUACGCCUGCCUAUGCUGUCAUCCAUGUAGCCUACAGCGCAGCAUGAUGCACACCUCCACAGAAAUGUGACUGCACAUCACGUCAACCCCUACCACUCUGAUUGGAGAGUUUGGUAACUAUGAAUUUCCAGAAACAUAUUUCUAUUCAUCUUCCAGUUGGGAAGUUGGCAAAUAAAAGAAAAAUGCAAGGGACAAAUAUGUUUUUCUAAUUAUUGUGAAAUUAUAAAACUCCCAACCUAGUGCUUGUAGUUCUUCCCAGAGAGUUCAAUUUCUGUCUCAUCAAACCAGAGAAUCUUUUUCUCAUGUUCUCAGAAUUGGUUAAAUGCCAUUUGGGAAAACUAAAAAGCAGGUCAUCAUGUGUCUUUUACUCAAUUGUGGCUUCUGUCUGAAUGAUGGAGUGCUGCUGUGAAGUUUGUUGUUUCAACAUGUUCUCCCAUCUCUGCAGAACCUCUGUUAAAGUGAUUGUUGGGUUCUUGGUCACCUCAAUUACCACGAUCCUUAUUGGAGUUGUUAAAGAAAAAUGUCCUUGACUGUAUUUUGCUCUGUAAUGGGUGGAGUUUCUGCUGGGAAAAUAUAUGUUCUUUUGAAAUUUAGAAGUGAAAUAUUAAGUUGAGGGAUUCAGAGUAAAAUAUUUGGUCAUCCUGAGAAAAAAACAGACUUUAGAAUUUCUCCAAAGGUGUUUUGGUGGAAAAAAACAUGCAUUGAUAUAUACGUGAUUACAUCAUGGCUAGUGAUGUAUGAACCUGGGCAAAGGCACGUCUUGGCUUCCAGUACAACUAUUGUAAACUAUUCCUGCUGCUUCUAAAUCAUUAGAAUCCCUUAGUUUGGACUUUGUUGAAUAUUUUCUACACUCUGCAUGUUGCCACCAAUGCUGAUUGAUUCUCCAACAAGGAAAUUCCAUUCUUUUAAAAAGAUGUCCACUCAGGAAUUAGCUUUCAUGUUAAUCCUGGAGAUUAUUAGACUGUACAAGUUUCCUCUCUCAGUAUUUUCUGACAGAGAUUCUUAGGCUGUUUCUCAGAGUUUGGAGUACCUUGCUAAACUGUGUGAGACUUGAAGACUGGUUCUGGAGAAUCUGCAGAAGGGGAAAACCACUGCCAAGAAAUUUGUGGAUCAUAGGCCUGAUGAAAAUGAAUUUGAGGUACAGUUGAUUUUGGAUUCAUGUGAAAGAGCCUUCAGGAUUGAAUACCUGGUUCACUGUCAUGGGAGUAGCCCUGAGGAAUACUCCUGGGCACCUUUUAAGGAUAUUCCUGCCUCUAAACUGUUGCAUUUUUGGUAAUUCACAAUUCCUAAUAAACUAGACAUUUGUGUGUCUGGGGGCCACGAAUUAGGGUCUGUGUUAUGAAUUAGAAAACGUUGGUGUUGUUUUUUUUUAAUUUUGCAAAAUUUUUAACUUGUCAAGUUUUGUUCCCCUGGGGGUUUUGAAUGUCAGAGAAUCCAUAUUUAUUAAUAUUUUACUUAAAACUUUUCUCUAGACUGGUACAGAUUUUUUUUAUCUUUAUGUAUUUAGUAUACUGUGUUACCAUUUGAGGCUCAAUUGCUAUGAUGCAUCAUUAAUGGGAAUGUGGUUUCUGGAGGUCAUGAUACUUUAUAAGCCAGCAGCAUCCAAGAUUGUGGGUGCAAUUAUAAAGACAUUGGUGUGUGGAUUUUUCAAGUAGAUACUUGGGUAAAAUGACUUCUGGCUUUUACCUUUGAUUUUUGGUCAGUGUUUUGGUUGUUACAACUGUGUUCUACUCUUCCUGGUUUUGACCCUUGCAAAUGAAUUACGUCAAAAGCAAAGGAAACAAAAGCACUAUAUAACACCACCAAAGGAUUUUAAGUUUGCAUCAACAAUCUCAUGGAAGCUCAUGGUGCUGAAAUUAAUAUAGUCAUGGUGGUGACUUCACAUGUUACACAUUUCUUGUCAUUAAAGCAUUUUAACAUUGUAGCAACAGUUUCUCAAAAUGGUGGCAUGUUUAAGAUGCAAAAUAGCAUCAAGAAAUAAUU